AUGGGACCCGGGUCAUUUCCUCCCCUCCUUUAUCUGAGGAAAUGCCGAAAUAGGCGGCACUCUGGGCUGUUCCGAUACCUUUCCCAGACUCGCUGGUGCGACGGUGCUCCACUCGGACCAGCAGGCCAGUCGGCACAGUGCCUCCCACUCGUAACGGCCUUCGCACACGACACCAUGAAGCUGGCCGGCCCGGCCUCCAUCCUCCUCACCACCUUCCUGCUGCUGCCCACAGCUGAAGGUGAAAGUACAGAACAUCCAAAUGUGACCAGUUCUGCCAGUGAUUCAGCUCUUGGAGAGCAGACAGUCACAUCUCCAGCCUUAACAGGACAAACUGAAACCAGCGUGAUGACUACAGCCCCUCCUGAAGCUCAGACUUCGAACGAAGUAUUACGAUUCAAACCCAAAGCAAAUGUGUCAACCCCAUCUGUCUCUGAGGGAAGUGUAUCGUUUUCCACUUCUACCAUGGAGCCACUGGGAGGAAAUGUGACUGAGAGCACCAGUACAGCUGGGAGUGACACGAUGACCCAGGCAGAGGAGCAUCAUAGUCGCGUCUCAGUCCCAAGCACCAGUGAACCAGGAGGUACUAAGGAGCCAGUGCAGGCCUCAGCAGACAAGCGAAUGCUGUGGUGCUUGGUGCCUGUGCUGGGGAUUGUGGUGGCAGCUCUGGCGUAUGGGUUCAAAUCCAAACUGAGGAAGGGUCCGACAUACCCAGAUACAACAGAAAAUGGAACAGAGAAUGCCUCCUACCAAAGCAGGCCAGAAAACAGCAAAGACGGCGUCAUGCUGCUGGGAGUGAAGUCCGGUGGAGAGGACAAUGCUGCUGCAAGAUAAGGAGGCAACACUGGACUCUGAGGAUGAGAGAGGAAACUCCCAGCAAAAAAUAAAGUAGGAGCAAAAACGAAGAUGAAAUCUCUU
rnacentral:lncRNA from 1 species